GGGAGUACGACCGCAAGGUUGAAACUCAAAGGAAUUGACGGGGGCCCGCACAAGCGGUGGAGCAUGUGGUUUAAUUCGAAGCAACGCGAAGAACCUUACCAAGGCUUGACAUACCUUUGACAGAUGUAGAGAUACAUUUUUCCUUCGGGACAAGGGAUACAGGUGGUGCAUGGUUGUCGUCAGCUCGUGUCGUGAGAUGUUGGGUUAAGUCCCGCAACGAGCGCAACCCUUAUCUUCAGUAGCCAGCAAGAGAGAUGGGCACUCUGGAGAGACUGCCGUGGAUAACACGGAGGAAGGUGGGGAUGACGUCAAAUCAUCAUGCCCCUUAUGUCUUGGGCAACACACGUGCUACAAUGGCUGGAAACAAAGUGAAGCGAGACGGUGACGUUAAGCAAAGCACAAAAACCCAGUCCCAGUUCGGAUUGUAGUCUGCAACUCGAGUACAUGAAGCUGGAAUCGCUAGUAAUCGCAAAUCAGAAUGUUGCGGUGAAUACGUUCCCGGGCCUUGUACACACCGCCCGUCACACCAUGGGAGUUGGAAGCGCCCGAAGUCGAUGACCCAACCUGAGAGGGAGGGAGUCGCCGAAGGUGAAGCCAGUGACUGGGGUGAAGUCGUAACAAGGUAACCGUAAGGGCGAAU
rnacentral:rRNA from 1 species